rnacentral:rRNA from 1 species
CCCUUAGAUGUUCUGGGCGGCCCGCGCACUACAAUGGCGCUUUCAGCGAGUUCCUAUGUUGAAUUUUCCUGGGUAUUCUUGGAAGCGGCGUCUUGACUUGGGAUAGAUCCUUGUAAUUGUUGGUUUUGAACGAGGAAUUCCUUGUAAUCGCGGUUGAUCAGCUCGCGUUGAAUACGUCCCUGCCCUUUGUACACACCGCCCGUCGCUACUACCGAUUGAACGGUUUAGUGAGGGCCUCGGAUUGGUCUCGGCCCGCUCUUUACCGGGCGGCGCCGUUGGUCGAGAAGACGCUCGAACUUGAUCGUUUAGAGGAAGUAAAAGUCGUAACA